GCGGAAACGUUUUGACCGGUAGAGCGAACGACUAGAGGUACCGGGGCCGUAACGGCCUCGACCUAUUCUCGAACUCCGAACGGGCAAGGAGCCGGGGUCGCCCGAUCGGACCCCGGACGUGAAGUCGACGAUGGUCGGUGGGGCUGGUUUUGGUAAGCAGAACGGGCGAUUCGGGAUGAACCGGAAGCGGGGAGAAAGGGCCCGAGAUUGCGUCGACGCGGAUCCCGAAAAGGGCGUCGAUCCGUCGCGACAGCGGGACGGUGGUCAUGGAAGUCGAAAUCCGCUAAGAAGCGUGUAAAAACGUACCCGCCCAACGGAUCGGGCCCCGAAAAUUGAUGGCGCUCGAACGCAACCCUCGAACCCCGCCGACGGAGGCUAGGGGAGGCCCCGUCGAGUAGGCGGACGCGCGGGUCGCUUCGACGCUCCCGCGCGAGCGGGGGCGAGCGGCCCGUGGUGCAGAUCUUGGUGGUAGUAGCGAUCACCCAGGCGACCGAACCUGAGGGCCGAAGUGGAGAA
rnacentral:rRNA from 1 species